rnacentral:lncRNA from 1 species
UGCUGUGCCGGUCAGUAUUUUCACUCACAGUAGAUAAGAAUGCAGUAUUAGAGUAAGUAUGAAAUUUCACUGUUUUAACAGUGAUUUUUCAAUAACACAAUGGCUCUUUAAUGUGUAGUAUGGACAUGGACUUAGUUCAGGAUAGGACAGAGCACUCAAACUGAAUUUUCCAAAUUAUAUAUCUUUUUUAAGACUAUUUCACAUGUCAGGGUCCCUCAUUUUUGGCCUAGCACCUGGAUUUUUAAAUGCCCCCUAAACCUACUCAGCAUUCAUCUUCUCAUGUCUUCUGUCUCUUGAAAUGCCAGUAGAGUGCAAGUAAUGAUGUGCUUAGGCACAACUGCAUCGAGUUAAAGGUGGCUUCCAUUUUAGAUAGUUCCAAGGUCAUAUGCAAAAUAUGAAAAUUUGAGCUCUUUACUGCUGGUCAGAACCUUAAUAUGUUCCAUGACCCUACAGUAGACUCAACCUAUAAAAUGAGAGAAGCUUAAUAAAUCUCUCUGUAAUAAGUAUUACACAUUAUGACAAGGAAAACUUAGAUCAAGCUUAUCCUUUGAAGUUUUAAUGGACAUUCCAAUUUGAUGACAGCAACUCACCUGUGCUUGUAGUAAGUUCGCAAAGCCUGCAGCAGCUCCAGUCAUCUUGGACUAGAGCUUUGGACGACAAUGAACUCAGGCAACUGCGAGCUUCAAAAGCCUUAUUGAAAUAUUCCAGCUCUGCUCGUACCAGGCAUUGCAGGCAAACUUUUAAAUACAUUUCUCUGUAUCAAAGAGUAUUUCUAUCUUGAGCUGUUCAUAAUAAUUUUGUUCUGUAAUAAAAUUGCAAAGCCUUCCAGUCUGAAAAGGAUUAAUCAGAUAUUCUCCUUUGCUCCACCCUUGUGCAAGCAAGAAGAGGGAAAAAAGAGCACAGCAGGGCGAAGAGAAAGGAAAACUGGCUCUUGGAUCUGUAUGCUUCUCAUUGCUCUGUGAUCACAUCAUGAAGUAGUCCUGUGAACCUUGUCAGGACAGCAGAUGUUUUCACAGUCCUUGGUCA